GUGCCAGCAGCCGCGGUAAUACGUAGGUGGCAAGCGUUGUCCGGAAUUAUUGGGCGUAAAGCGCGCGCAGGCGGUUCCUUAAGUCUGAUGUGAAAGCCCACGGCUCAACCGUGGAGGGUCAUUGGAAACUGGGGGACUUGAGUGCAGAAGAGGAGAGCGGAAUUCCACGUGUAGCGGUGAAAUGCGUAGAGAUGUGGAGGAACACCAGUGGCGAAGGCGGCUCUCUGGUCUGUAACUGACGCUGAGGCGCGAAAGCGUGGGGAGCAAACAGGAUUAGAUACCGUGGUAGUCC
rnacentral:rRNA from 1 species